CAUUUAAUACACUUUUAACUUAUGUGAAGAAUGUUGCGACAAAUCCCAAUGAGGAGAAAUUCCGUAAAAUUAGACUCACUAAUGCCACCUUUCAGGCUAGAGUGGGUGCACUGAAAGGUGGAAUCGAGUUUCUUGAGCUGUGUGGGUUUGAGACAAUUGAAGGAGGUGAGUUCUUGUUUCUACCCAGAGACAAAGUUGAUAGAGCAGUGCUGAACGAAGCUGGGACCGAGUUGAAUAAUGCGAUAAACAAUCCUUUCUUUGGGGUUCUCUAAUCCCAACUUUUAAGUUGAAAAUGCAUACACUGUAAACAUGAGGUUUGUUUUUCAUAUUUCAUAUAAUUUUUAGUUGAAAUGCAUCCAUCAUUGUCAACUUUGUUGUAAUGACUAGGACUGAGGGGUUUGUUUUACUUCAUACAUGGAUGCAAAUUGGUGAGUGGUUUUUUUUUUUUUUUCAAAAUUACUAUAAAGUGUUACCCCACAAUAAAAAUUGUUGGCUGGCCUC